UACGUAGGGGGCAAGCGUUGUCCGGAAUCAUUGGGCGUAAAGAGCGCGUAGGCGGCCCUGUAAGUCCGCUGUGAAAGUCAAGGGCUCAACCCUUGGAUGCCGGUGGAUACUGCAGGGCUAGAGUCCGGAAGAGGCGAGUGGAAUUCCUGGUGUAGCGGUGAAAUGCGUAGAUAUCUGGAGGAACACCGGUGGCGAAGGCGGCAUCCUGGACCGGUAUUGACGCUGAGGCGCGAAAGCCAGGGGAGCAAACGGG
rnacentral:rRNA from 1 species